AUACGGAGGGGGCAAGCGUUGUUCGGAAUUACUGGGCGUAAAGGGCGCGCAGGCGGUUUUGUCAGUCAGGCGUGAAAUCCCCGGGCUCAACCCGGGAACUGCGUUUGAUACUGCGGAACUAGAGAUCGGGAGAGGGUAGUGGAAUUCCCAGUGUAGAGGUGAAAUUCGUAGAUAUUGGGAAGAACACCAGUGGCGAAGGCGGCUACCUGGACCGAUACUGACGCUGAGGCGCGAAAGCGUGGGGAGCAAACAGGAUUAGAUACCCGGGUAGUCC
rnacentral:rRNA from 1 species